AAUUGGAUAUGGGUAUUGUAGCUGAAACGUCUUGCGAGCUGAGUCAGGGUCGGGGAAGCUGUGAUGGCAAUGAGAAGUCAACACACUGAGGAUGGAGAGAAAGAAGAUGAGUCUGGGAGAGAAAGAGAAUGAUUCUUCUGGCCGAGGGAAAGCAAGAAUAUCUGUUCCUGCAACUGCACUGAUUCUAGAAACACUCUCUAUUCGAACUCUCAUGAGAUGGACCGAAAAUGCUGACGCCAAUGCCAAGGAAAAAAGUGUCUUGAAAAAGCAGCCGUGGACGUGGAGUUACCAAAUCAUCCGAAGUGGCUCCUGGACCGGGUGGAGGAGCC
rnacentral:lncRNA from 1 species